UGUUAUAGCGGACUCAACGUGCCGAUCUCGCUUAUAUAUCUUCUACGACAAAGGAUUCCUGCAACAAGUCGAUACCAUGUCUCAUCCCGUCACCAUACAACCAAACACCAUGUUAACCAUCAGUGGCCCAACGAUCAACCCGACAACUAAUUACUUAAAAACUCUUCUUGGAAUUCUCCGAUUACUGGAAGUUGUGCUGGGCAUCGUCUGCGUUGGGAUCAUUGGAUACGCUCAGAAUACAAUUGGCAAUAUAAUUGAUGACGUUUACGCCGAACUGCAAAUACCUGGCGGUGCACUUAACUACUAUUUCAACGGUCUCAGUGAAGAUUUCCGUGAUAGUUUUGGUAGCAUUGCCAGCAGUGUCAACCAAUAUGGGCGCAUUGUCAAGGAUUUCAAACUAAGUGCUUACGCCGCCAACAUUCCCGUCCUGGGGAUUGUGACUAGUUUCAUAGUGACAAGACCGUACAGCAUGUUUUUUUUCCUCAUGACGACAACAUUCAUGGUCGCAUCUUUCAUUCUUCUAGUAUCAUGAAUCGCGUCCUUUUCAAUCAACUUGAUAAUAUCAUAGGGUGACUACUUGCAAGACGUACUCUACCAUGUGAUCGGAUUCGUAUUGCUCCUGGCAGCAUCAAUUAGCAUUCUCAUAGAAACUAUCUUAAACAGUUCCAAUCGAGUUGUAGAAUUGGUUUUUUCCUCGAAGAAUGCCGUAAUUACAGCAUCGGUUAUAGGAAUGGUCAAUGCGUUAUUGUACUUUUUG